CAUAAAUUCGUCAGCCACUGAAUGUCCUGAAAAAGGAGCUAGCUAAAUCAUCCAGCACAUACCCAAGCUAUGAAGAUCCUCCCUGUUAUCUCAAACACCACUUUAACAGAGAACAGGGAUACAAAGUAGAAUCUGAAUGACUAAAUAAUUGUCAAGAGAACAAUUUGCUGAUUGAACUAAGUUUUGAAUCAGACUGCAUUAAAAUUAGUUUUCUCAUUUUAUCAAUCAGAACUCACGGGAUAGCAGAGCAUCACUUUGUGGCUCCAGUGACUUCUAGUGUUGCUGUACACUGACAUUCUACUUCUAGAUCAUUCCAACUUUUUUUUUCCUCUGUAGAAAGUUUUUGGCCUUUCUUCUCUCUUAUUGGUUUCCGAUAGUUGGUGUGGGUUUUUCUCAUUAAUCGCACUGAGCUUUUGGUCAGUAUAUAUCACGGAC
rnacentral:lncRNA from 1 species